CGUACACUCCUGCGGGAGGCAGCAGUGGGGAAUAUUGCACAAUGGGCGCAAGCCUGAUGCAGCCAUGCCGCGUGUAUGAAGAAGGCCUUCGGGUUGUAAAGUACUUUCAGCGGGGAGGAAGGCAAUACGGUUAAUAACCGUGUUGAUUGACGUUACCCGCAGAAGAAGCACCGGCUAACUCCGUGCCAGCAGCCGCGGUAAUACGGAGGGUGCAAGCGUUAAUCGGAAUUACUGGGCGUAAAGCGCACGCAGGCGGUCUGUCAAGUCGGAUGUGAAAUCCCCGGGCUCAACCUGGGAACUGCAUUCGAAACUGGCAGGCUUGAGUCUUGUAGAGGGGGGUAGAAUUCCAGGUGUAGCGGUGAAAUGCGUAGAGAUCUGGAGGAAUACCGGUGGCGAAGGCGGCCCCCUGGACAAAGACUGACGCUCAGGUGCGAAAGCGUGGGGAGCAAACAGGAUUAGAAACCCGUGUAGUCCCAUGA
rnacentral:rRNA from 1 species